rnacentral:rRNA from 1 species
GUCCACGCCGUAAACGAUGGGUGCUAGGUGUGGGGGUGUCGACUCCCCCCGUGCCGCAGCUAACGCAUUAAGCACCCCGCCUGGGGAGUACGGCCGCAAGGCUAAAACUCAAAGGAAUUGACGGGGCCCGCACAAGCAGCGGAGCAUGUGGUUUAAUUGGAUGCAACGCCAAGAACCUUACCAAGGCUUGACAUGGUCGAGAAAAGCGGAGAAAUUCGUUCCUCCUUCGGGACUCGAUCACAGGUGGUGCAUGGCUGUCGU